rnacentral:rRNA from 1 species
AUUGAACGCUGGCGGCAGGCCUAACACAUGCCAGUCGAGCGGAUGAAGGGAGCUUGCUCCUGGAUUCAGCGGCGGGCAGGUGAGUAAUGCCUAGGAAUCUGCCUGGUAGUGGGGGAUAACGUCCGGAAACGGGCGCUAAUACCGCAUACGUCCUGAGGGAGAAAGUGGGGGAUCUUCGGACCUCACGCUAUCAGAUGAGCCUAGGUCGGAUUAGCUAGUUGGUGGGGUAAAGGCCUACCAAGGCGACGAUCCGUAACUGGUCUGAGAGGAUGAUCAGUCACACUGGAACUGAGACACGGUCCAGACUCCUACGGGAGGCAGCAGUGGGGAAUACUGGACAAUGGGCGAAAGCCUGAUCCAGCCAUGCCGCGUGUGUGAAGAAGGUCUUCGGAUUGUAAAGCACUUUAAGUUGGGAGGAAGGGCAGUAAGUUAAUACCUUGCUGUUUUGACGUUACCAACAGAAUAAGCACCGGCUAACUUCGUG